AAAAAAUGUAAGGUACGAGGACCGAAAAAGGACGGGAGCAAAAAAUAUAAUAAAGGGCAGGGGAGAUCCUUGAUCGUGCACAUAUGGUAACAGAGUUGAGCGGACGCUUCACAAGGUAUCUGAUACUCAAGCUAACGCCGUAAGUCCACCCCCUCGGGAGUAAGUCCGCUCGAUGUAAAGUCAAGGGAAAUGACGGGGACGGCGCGCAAGCGGCGGAGCAUGUGGAGUAAUUCGAAGCAAGGCGAAGAGCCUUGGCAAGGCGUGACAUACACCGGAACCGUCUGGAACCAGUCGCCCCUUUUUGGUCGGUGUACAGGUGGUGCAUGGUUGUCGUCAGCUCGUGUCGUGAGAUGUUGGGUUAAGUCCCGCAACGAGCGCAACCCUCGUUCUAUGUUGCCAGCACGUUAUGGUGGGAACUCAUGGGAUACUGCCGGGGUCAACUCGGAGGAAGGUGGGGAUGACGUCAAAUCAUCAUGCCCCUUAUGUCUUGGGCUUCACGCAUGCUACAAUGGCCGGUACAAAGGGCUGCAAUACCGUGAGGUGGAGCGAAUCCCAAAAAGCCGGUCCCAGUUCGGAUUGAGGUCUGCAACUCGACCUCAUGAAGUCGGAGUCGCUAGUAAUCGCAGAUCAGCAACGCUGCGGUGAAUACGUUCCCGGGUCUUGUACACACCGCCCGUCGAGUCAUGAAAGUCGGUAACACCUGAAGCACGGUGGCCUAACCCCUUGGGGAGGGAGCUGUCGAACGGG
rnacentral:rRNA from 1 species